rnacentral:rRNA from 1 species
UUCCUACGGGAGGCAGCAGUGGGGGAUAUUGCACAAUGGGGGAAACCCUGAUGCAGCGACGCCGCGUGAGUGAAGAAGUAUUUGGGUAUGUAAAGCUCUAUCAGCAGGGACGAGAAUGACGGUACCUGAGUAAGAAGCCCCGGCUAACUACGUGCCAGCAGCCGCGGUAAUACGUAGGGGGCAAGCGUUAUCCGGAUUUACUGGGUGUAAAGGGAGCGUAGACGGUUAUGCAAGUCUGGAGUGAAGGGCGGGGGCUCAACCCCCGGACUGCUCUGGAACCUGUAGAACUUGAG